UGUGUCUGCCAUCCUGAACCCACCUCCCACCUCUCCUGAUGGUCCUGCCUCUCACACCCUGGGGAGCUGAGCACAGCGGGAGCCAUGGGAACGGAGAGGUUCACAGAAACAAUUCUGAGACUCUGUGAUGGCAACGUCAGCACAUUAGGACGAAGACUGAGACGAUAAUCUGAAAAAAGGAAUGAAUCAAAGUUUCACAUUCCUGUAACUGGUUUAUUUGAAGCUUACCUGUCACACAGAGAACAAGCCAUAACAAUGUGAAUAUCGGUGAGUUCAGCUUCAUAGGGAAAGACUGUAAUAAGCUCAAUCUUUAUGCACUAAUUUGGAACCAAUUUACUAGAUAUAUUAAGCAAAUAACAUGCAGAGCAGUAUGUGGUUUCCCGCUAUUUGUCUUAGAAGAAGGGACAGAAUAUAGGUGUGUUACUUUCACUUAACGUUUGCGUGUACUCUACACGAACACAUACAUAUAUGACAUACACUUGCUUAUAUAAUCCUAUGCUACUUUUGGAAACACACAACUGACACGGAGGUCACUGGUGGUCUGAGGAGGGAUGUGAGUGGUCUUGGGGCAGGGAUGGGAGGGAGACUUCACUACACGAUUUUACACUUCUUUGCUUAGAACCAUAUGCAAUUAUUGGGAAAGACUGAAGGCAAAAGGAGAAGGGGGUGGCAGAGGAUGAGAUGGUGAGAUAGCAUCACCGACUCAAGGGAUGCGAAUCUGAGUAAACUCCGGGAGAGAGUGAAGGAUGGAGGAACCUGGCAUGCUACAGUCCACUGGGUCACAAAGAGUUGGACGCGACUUAAAGACUGAACAACAGCAGUGUGCAAUUACUGUGUACUGAGAAAUAAAUUAAGAUUCAAGAGCAAA